GACGUAGGGUCCGAGCGUUGUCCGGAGUUACUGGGCGUAAAGGGCGCGUAGGCGGCUUUGUGCGUCACCCGUGAAAGCCCCCGGCUCAACCGGGGAGGGUCGGGUGAAACGGCGGAGCUGGAGGCAGCGAGAGGCUGGUGGAAUUCCCGGAGUAGUGGUGAAAUGCGUAGAGAUCGGGAGGAACACCGGUGCGAAGGCGGCCAGCUGGCGCUGACCUGACGCUGAGGCGCGAAGGCGUGGGGAGCGAACGGGG
rnacentral:rRNA from 1 species